rnacentral:rRNA from 1 species
AACGAACGCUGGCGGCAGGCUUAACACAUGCAAGUCGAACGGGGAAAGCUUUCGGGUGAGUACUAGUGGCGCACGGGUGAGGAACGCGUGGAUAAUCUGCCUUAGAGUGGGGGAUAACUAGUCGAAAGAUUAGCUAAUACCGCAUAAGACCACAGGAGCUGCGGCUCAAGGGGUCAAAGGUUUUUCGCUCUAAGAUGAGUCCGCGUAAGAUUAGCUAGUUGGUGAGGUAACGGCUCACCAAGGCGACGAUCUUUAACUGGUCUGAGAGGAUGAUCAGUAACACUGGAACUGAGACACGGUCCAGACUCCUACGGGAGGCAGCAGUAGGGAAUAUUGCACAAUGGAGGAAACUCUGAUGCAGCGACGCCGCGUGAGUGAUGAAGGCCUUCGGGUCGUAAAGCUCUGUCGCAGGGGAAUAACACAAUGAAGGUACCCUGUAAGAAAGGAUCGGCUAACUUCGUGCCAGCCGCCGCCGUAAUAC